CAGCCUACGGGACGCAGCAGUGAGGAAUAUUGGUCAAUGGGCGAGAGCCUGAACCAGCCAAGUCGCGUGAAGGAUGACGGCCCUACGGGUUGUAAACUUCUUUUGUCAGGGAGCAAUUGGGUCCACGUGUGGGCUUAGCGAGAGUACCUGAAGAAAAAGCAUCGGCUAACUCCGUGCCAGCAGCCGCGGUAAUACGGAGGAUGCGAGCGUUAUCCGGAUUUAUUGGGUUUAAAGGGUGCGUAGGCGGAAUAUCACGUCAGUGGUAAAAAUGCGGGGCUCACCCCCGUCGUGCUGUUGAAACUGCU
rnacentral:rRNA from 1 species